AGGUUAUCUUUAUUCCGCUUCUAGUAUUUUAAAUAAAUGAAUAGUUCAGUUAGAUGAUUAUUACUGAUGUUUGAAUGUUUGUGAACAUGUUUAACUUGAUGAUUUACUGAUGCAUGAGAUUAGAGAUUUGUGGAUCCGUGGAUUUAGUUUUAUUGAUAUUUAGUUCUUGUAUUUAUGGAUUUACGCAUCGUGGUUUUCUAACCCUCGAUGUAGCUGGUUUUCAAAAUAGAGUUUCCGAGUGGGAAAUAAUUUUAAAAAGGUUUUCGAAUGGUUUUUGUGGAUGAUUGAAUAUAGUUUAAAAAUGAAGCUUCCGGGUGGGGAGCAUUUUUAAAUAGGAUGUAUGUUAUAUUGUGUAUUACAUCAUCCAGCGCCUAAGGAGUGUUUAGAGGCAUGCAUCAUCUUUAAUGAUUGUUAGCUGUAUGAAAAUGCAUGGCAUAAAUUGGUUGUUGAUUGGUAAAUGUAAGUUGUGGUUGAGAGCCUGAUAUAUGGUUGGUACGCCGUGUAAAUACACAGGAGACUCUGUCCGUGUGGACAGAGGAACUUUGUAUUUGUGGCGGGUUUGUACGUCACGUGGGCCAGGUUGAAAAAAAAGGGCAUGUUUUCCGCAACUCUGAUUUCAAAAUUGAUAUUCAUUAAUAAAAGGCUU
rnacentral:lncRNA from 1 species